rnacentral:misc_RNA from 1 species
CUUUCAGUCGACCGAAAGCGCUUUUACUACACGAACGUGUCGAGGAAAACUCGCUCCGUUUCGGAAAUCGGUUUCCUAUUUCAUUAUUUUCUAUAUAUUUUGUACUAACGCAAUUGCGGGUUGACUGGAUUCGCUACGAGGAAACAAUAAUAAGAGCAAAUCUGUAAUAUGCACGGACCGGUAAUAAAAUGAAAUCCUUUUUGUGAGCAGGCAGGAAGCAGGUGCAGAUUUCUGGAGGAUUUUAGUGAGUGCGCGUGUAAAAAGUGGGUGUGCAGAUAUACAUAUACAAAGAUUAAAGGAAUUCUUUUGAAGAUAUAAAUAAUUCUGUGUGGAAAGUGUCUUUUUAUCAUUAAGAGUUAUUGAGUCUGUUUUCGUUGCAAAGUGAGCUUCACCUUCUUACGUGUUCCUACCUAGAAAGCUUGAAUUUAUUGGAGAUUGGUGAAAGUAGUUUCGAGGCGUUGUUAUCGAAAAAACGCUAUGUCUUCCCGACUGACGUCGUCCGGAGGUACAACACAAUCUCGAUCCAGUGUAUCUAACAGCCAACGGAGACAUCGAUCAAGUGAGGGAAGAUCGACAUCCCGAUAUGCAGACUUGGACAAACCGAAGAAGAAGAAGACGCUCAGCGCCACUACGAGCCUCGUGUCCAUACCGAAUACAAUUAAGCUGAGUAUGCUGAACAGUGGAUUACUUUCGUUUGAAAAAGUUAAAUUGGAAGCAAGAGAUGAAAACAACUCACUUUCACAGACAAUACCGGACAAACCGAUAGAAUUACGCCACUUUGUUAAAUUAUGUGAACAACGUCGAAAAUUCCCAGUUUUAUACAAAUUGGAGUUUCAGACUGCAGUUAAAGUUGAAACAAGUACGUGUAGACAUGCUACUAGAAAAAAUAAUCUUGAAAAGAAUCAAAAUCAAAAAUGCAUUCCGUACGAUUAUAAUAGAGUAGUUUUGGAAAAAAUACCAGGUGUGCCGGAUUCAGAUUAUAUAAAUGCGUCUUAUAUUGAUAGUUUACUUAAACCAAAUGCUUACAUAGUAACGCAGGGUCCAACAGAAGAAACAGUUAACGAUUUUUGGAAAAUGGUUUGGCAAGAGAAUGUUAGUGCGAUAGUUAUGCUAACGAAGACCUUCGAUUUCACAAAGGUAAUGUGCGUUCAGUACUGGCCACCGAACAUGGAAGUGCACGAGACAUACGGCGACAUUCAUAUAAACAUAGUUAAAGAGGAACAAUUAGCCAAUUUUCAAAUUAGAACGUUUCGACUGUACAAGAAAAAUGAGGAGCAAGUUGUGACCGAGGAGCGUCUCAUUUUGCAAUUCCACUAUACGGAAUGGCAUUCACAUACGUGUCCAUUUUCAAAUGCAGUCCUCGAAUUUCGGAGAAGAGUUCGUGCUGUGGUUGGUAACAUAAUUAAGCCAAAUAGCAUGCAGGGCCCCAUGUUGGUGCAUUGCAAUGACGGCGGGGGUCGAUCGGGAGUGUAUCUUGCCGUUGAUGCAAAUUUGGAGUUGGCAGAAGAAGAGGAUUGCUUCCAUGUAUUCGGGUAUUUGAAGAAAUUGCGACAAUCACGAAAAGGACUCAUAGAAAAUGUGGAUCAAUAUAAAUUCGUUUAUGAUACUCUCGAAGAACACGUAGUAUGCGGUAAAACAUGGUUUCCAGUCUCCGAAUUGUCGGAGCGCUUGAAGGCCAAGGCGAAAAAAGAUCCUGUGACGAAAAUGAACGAAUAUCAAAAGGAAUACGCGCAAAUAUGCAAACAGACUCCUCGAUUUACGAUUGGUGAUUGUGCAGGUGGUCAUAGGGCGGAUAAUCGGGAGAAAAAUCGUGAUGUUCUAUGUGUUCCACCCGACAAUUUUCGACCGUAUCUCACAUCGUUCCAGGGUAACGCAUUUACGGACUAUAUUAAUUCAGUUUUCGUGGACGGAUACACGAAGCCGCGGGAAUAUGUAGUGACAGAGUGGCCGUUAAAGCACACACUCGGUGAAUUCUGGUCGCUGGUGUAUGACCACGAAUGCUCAGCCAUUGUCGUCCUGUGCCAGCCACCACAAAACUCUCAACAAUAUCCUCCCUAUUGGCCGCAAAAAACAAAAAGCGAAAAAUAUGGACCCGUUUUUUCAGUGGACUAUGUCUCCAGCAAGCAUUACCAGAAUAUCAAACAAUGGGAAUUCAGAGUUAACAAGAAAAUUAUUUCACUGACAGAAAUGAUGGCUGGCGUUAAGGCACCAACUAAAACUGUGCAGUUGUUCCAGUUGACAUGUUGGCCUAUGGGACAUAAAGUGCCAACAUCAACAAACUCUCUGGUGUUCCUCAUGAAUAUGGUGGAAACGUGGCGUCAACGCACAGAUUAUGGUCCUGUUUGUGUUGUCUCUCCUGAUGGACGAAGCCGUGCUGGCGUUUAUUGUGCAGCCAACGCGUGCAUUGAACAAGUAAUACAACAUGGUGAAGUUGAUGUAUUCCAAGCCAUCAAAACCGUUCGUCGCCAUAGGCCGCAGUUAAUAGAUAACAUGACGGAAUAUAAAUAUUGCUACGAUUUGGUGCUUCACUACGUAUUACAUUUCUUAGAUAAGGACCUGAAAGUAAAGAAGUGAGAAAACGAAUUACACGACGGCCUGUGUUAAACAUCCGAGAUUUAAAAUACAUAAUUACCAGCUAUAUUUUUUUAUUUUCAAAUUACCGAACUGUUUAUUGCUUUCGGGCGCGGAAAAUCAAUUCCAUUAACACCGGACAGUACUAAUAUCGAACUCCCCAGUGAAAUAUCUAAUACAGGCCGAAUAGUCGUGAACAAGUGUAUCGACAAAAUAGAACUUGAGAAACG